rnacentral:rRNA from 1 species
CGCCUGUUUAACAAAAACAUGUCUUUUUGAAUGUAUAAAAAGUCUGACCUGCCCACUGAGUAUUUAAAUGGCCGCAGUAUAUUAACUGUGCAAAGGUAGCAUAAUCAUUAGUCUUUUAAUUGAAGGCUGGAAUGAAUGGUUGGACGAAAUAUUAGCUGUUUCAUUUAAAUUUAUAGUAGAAUUUUAUUUUUCAGUAAAAAAGCUGAAAUAUAGUUAAAAGACGAGAAGACCCUAUAAAUCUUUAUAUUUAAGUUAUUUUAAAAUUAUAGAUUUUUUUGUUUUAUGAUAAUGAUUAAUAUUUUAUUGGGGUGAUAUUAAAAUUUAAUAAACUUUUAAUUUUUUAUUUCAUUAAUUUAUGAAUAAUUGAUCCGUUUUUAACGAUUAAAAAUUUAAGUUACUUUAGGGAUAACAGCGUAAUUUUUUUGGAGAGUUCUUAUCGAUAAAAGAGAUUGCGACCUCGAUGUUGGAUUAAGAUAUAAUUUUAGGUGUAGAAGCUUAAACUUUAAGUCUGUUCGACUUUUAAAUUCUUACGUGAUCUGAGUUCAGACCGG